GAUGAACGCUGGCGGCGUGCCUAACACAUGCAAGUCGAACGAAGCACCUUACCUGAUUCUUCGGAUGAAAGUUUGGUGACUGAGUGGCGGACGGGUGAGUAACGCGUGGGUAACCUGCCCUGUACAUGGGGAUAACAGCUGGAAACGGCUGCUAAUACCGCAUAAGCGCACGAGGAGACAUCUCCUUGUGUGAAAAACUCCGGUGGUACAGGAUGGGCCCGCGUCUGAUUAGCUGGUUGGCAGGGUAACGGCCUACCAAGGCAACGAUCAGUAGCCGGUCUGAGAGGAUGAACGGCCACAUUGGAACUGAGACACGGUCCAAACUCCUACGGGAGGCAGCAGUGGGGAAUAUUGCACAAUGGGGGAAACCCUGAUGCAGCAACGCCGCGUGAGUGAAGAAGUAUUUCGGUAUGUAAAGCUCUAUCAGCAGGGAAGAUAAUGACGGUACCUGACGAAGAAGCUCCGGCUAAAUACGUG
rnacentral:rRNA from 1 species